UUAACUCAGAUUUGUAUAGAGUUCGAACGUUUGCCGCUAGGGGCGCUGUUUCAACUGCAUACAAAUUUGAGUUA
rnacentral:pre_miRNA from 1 species